rnacentral:rRNA from 1 species
AACGAACGCUGGCGGCAUGCCUAACACAUGCAAGUCGAACGAGAUCUUCGGGUCUAGUGGCGCACGGGUGCGUAACGCGUGGGAAUCUGCCCUUUGGUUCGGAAUAACAGUUGGAAACGACUGCUAAUACCGGAUGAUGACGAAAGUCCAAAGAUUUAUCGCCAGAGGAUGAGCCCGCGUAGGAUUAGCUAGUUGGUGUGGAAAAGGCGCACCAAGGCGACGAUCCUUAGCUGGUCUGAAGGGAUGAUCAGCCACACUGGGACUGAGACACGGCCCAGACUCCUCCGGGGGGCAGCAGUGGGGGAUAUUGGACAAUGGGCGAAAGCCUGAUCCAGCAAUGCCGCGUGAGUGAUGAAGGCCUUAGGGUUGUAAAGCUCUUUUACCCGGGAUGAUAAUGACAGUACCGGGAGAAUAAGCUCCGGCUAACUCCGUGCCAGCCGCCGCCGUAA